AGAAGCACUAGCAAAUAAUUAUACUGGCACAGUGUUUGGUGCCAGGUAAUAAAUACUUGAUAAAUGAAUGAAAUAAGAAAAAUGAACAAAACAUACAGAAGCUCUAGAAUGGCAAUGCCUACGUACUAAGGUGAUAAUCUUGGUAAUAAUAUUGUUAUUGACUAUAGAUCUCUAAUUAAGCAGCAUUUAUUAAAGUUUUCAAUGUUUUUGUUACUCUUUUGGAAAUAUAAAAGAGCCUUUUCUUCUAAAACUCUGUGGCUCUUGGGGAUGGGGUGUGGGCUGGGAUUGUUCUCGCAGCUCCGCCCUCCUCAGCAGCUGGGGAGAGCAGUUGCUCCGGGGCUGUGGGAGCCACCGUUCUCUCCUGGUCACUACAUCCACGUCUGCCCCAGAGUCAGUCACUUUUUCUCCCAGUCGCAGGGUUUUCACGUGCCAAUGGGAGUUUGGAAUAAAGUCUUUCUAAAGACUCCUUGUAGAGCUGACAUCUUAUUACUUUGCUUUGGGGAUUGAACUCUGGACCUUGCGCUUUUGAGGCACGUGGCGAAACCACUGAGCUAAAUCCCCGGCCCUGGUAAAUACAACACAACUUUGAAGCACUCAUCAUGAGGAUGGAGUGAUAAGAAAAGUAAAGAAACAGCUGCAAUAAAAAGCAAUGUCAAAUAAGCCCCAAAGAGAGGAAGGAACAGACUGCCAGAAUUUUUGUGAUGAGAAGAUGUGAUCAAGAGACAUCAGUCCAGGAUCUAAACCAUGGUGGAAAUGAAGAGCAGAACAUAGUGACACAUGCUGGCCUUGUCCUGAAACCUGAUGUCCACUACUCCCACUGCUCUGAAAGAGAGAAGAUUUAAAGUCACCUUUGAUGCUCCAAGAGUAGAUCAUAGGUAUCCCAGGCCUCUGCAGGGCCUGGAAGUAGCUUGUCCUACCCUUAGAGAGCUUUUCUAACUGACUUUUUCUGACAGUGAUUUGUCAGAUGUGUAGUGAAUUCUGCAAGUCCGGGCCCCAAAGAAGUAAAAGAGUAAUUGAAGUGGAUUAACUGAUGGUCAACUUGUAACGCCCAGCUGAACUGAAUCAGCAUGGUCUGGGCGUGGAAGAUCCAUCUGAGGAUUGUUGUCAACAGCCACAAAAAGAGAACUGGAGGGAAAGAUCAUGGGUGUUGACUUUCUAGGAGAAGCCUGCUGUGAUUUUUCUGACACCAACUAGGCUGUUCAUGUCAGAGGAGGAAGUUGGGGACUUGCUGUCCCUGGGAAUGGCUGCUGUUUUUGUCAGGGGAGCUCUGAUCUUCACCGUGAGCGUCACUUCCUGACUCCAAUGUGGAUCCCUCAGCUUGGUGGCUCAAAUCCUUCAUCUCACCAACGUAGGUUUUCUGGCUUCCACCACUGGCCUUUGGACCUCCAGGUGCAGAUUCUCAAUAUGGACAAGAAUAAGACAUUGCUGUGGGCUCUAGGCCACUGGCUGGACUCAUGGCGAACAUUGCCUUGGACUCUAACCCUUUAGCUGGACUUGUGUCCAUUGCUGGGAUCCAGGCUGGAUUCUUUGGGGCCCUAGUGUGCAGUUAAUCUCUUGCACUCCUUUGCAUUUGACUUUUGGGUGAUUAUUAUAAAAUAAUCCUAUAAAUUAGGUGUCCCAGUAAGUGUAUUCUCUUGCCAAAACCCUGACUACAAUAGUAAUCGAAUGAAGUUGACUUGAUCUUGGGGCUCAGAGCCUUGAGAUGCCUGGUGAUCUCAAACCUCUGACACAGGGCUUCCCUUGCUCCAUCCUGUCACCCCUAGUCCCCAUGAAAGCCGCUUUUCACUGGCCUUUUUUCACCUUUUUUCACCUUGCCCGG
rnacentral:lncRNA from 1 species